rnacentral:rRNA from 1 species
GACGAACGCUGGCGGCGUGCUUAACACAUGCAAGUCGAACGGAAAGGCCCUGCUUUUGUGGGGUGCUCGAGUGGCGAACGGGUGAGUAACACGUGAGUAACCUGCCCUUGACUUUGGGAUAACUUCAGGAAACUGGGGCUAAUACCGGAUAGGAGCUCCUGCUGCAUGGUGGGGGUUGGAAAGUUUCGGCGGUUGGGGAUGGACUCGCGGCUUAUCAGCUUGUUGGUGGGGUAGUGGCUUACCAAGGCUUUGACGGGUAGCCGGCCUGAGAGGGUGACCGGCCACAUUGGGACUGAGAUACGGCCCAGACUCCUACGGGAGGCGGCAGUGGGGAAUAUUGCACAAUGGGCGGAAGCCUGAUGCAGCAGCGCCGCGUGCGGGAUGACGGCCUUCGGGUUGUAAACCGCUUUCGCCUGUGACGAAGCGUGAGUGACGGUAAUGGGUAAAGAAGCACCGGCUAACUACG